AUUGAACGCUGGCGGCAGGCUUAACACAUGCAAGUCGAGCGGGGGAAGGUAGCUUGCUCCCGGACCUAGCGGCGGACGGGUGAGUAAUGCGUAGGGAUCUGCCUACUAGUGGGGGACAACACGCCCAAAGGGAUGCUAAUACCGCAUACGUCCUACGGGAGAAAGCAGGGGAUCUUCGGACCUUGCGCUAAUAGAUAAGCCAAAGUGGGAUUAGCUAGUUGGUGGGGUAAAGGCCUAACAAGGCGACGAUCUGUAACGGGUCUGAGAGGAUGAUCCGCCACACUGGGACUGGGACAAGGCCCAGACUCCUACGGGAGGCAGCAGUGGGGAAUAUUGGACAAUGGGGGGAACCCUGAUCCAGCCAUGCCGCGUGUGUGAAGAAGGCCUUAUGGUUGUAAAGCACUUUAAGCGAGGAGGAGGCUCUUUUAGUUAAUACCCAAGAUGAGUGGACGUUACUCGCAGAAUAAGCACCGGCUAACUCUGUGCCAGCCGCCGCAGUAA
rnacentral:rRNA from 1 species